GCCGCCAUCGUCUAACGGUUAGGACGCCAGAUUCUCAUUCUGGUAAUCGGGGUUCGAUUCCCCGUGGCGGUA
rnacentral:tRNA from 1 species